GGGCGUGGCCUUCGGCGGCCGGGGCGGGGCGAGCGCAGAGUGGGUGUGUCCGAGGCGGGGCGCGCAGGUCCUAGUAGGUGCGACUGUCCCGGGCCGUCGGCGCCCGGGCGCUGGUGGAGAGGUCAGGCUGGCGGGGCAUCGGCCCGCGACGGCGGGUCAUGGCGGCGGCCGGCCGGCUGGAGGACAGUUCCUUGGAUAUCCUACAAAGUAUGGAUGACGACCCGCUUCUGGAUACCCAGCCUCUCCCACACCACUCUCUCCAAGCUCAGUUUAGACCCAGAUUCCAUCCUCUCCCCACGGUCAUCAUAGCGAACCUUCUGUUGCUUAUACAUGUCGUGUUUGUUGUUUUAGCAUUUUUAACGGGUGUGCCGUGUUUGUAUCCUAAUCCAACUGAAGACAAGUGCCCAGAAAACUACACCAGCCCGUUGAAGGUUCAGACGGCCAUAAUCCUUGGGAAACUUAUCCUGUGGAUUCUGCAUUUGCUUUUUGAACGCUACGUCCAGUAUCACCACAGGAAAGUCAGGAGCCGAGGCUAUUCCCAGAUCUACCGCUCUACGAGGCAUCUCAAAACACUGGCCCUCACCAUCCACUCUUCUGGCAACACAGCCCUGCUCCUCCUCCUCUGUGUGCAGCACUCCUUCCCUGAGCCCAGCAAGCUGUACCUUGAGCUGAUUCUGGCUGUCCUGGCCCUGGAGCUGAUCUGUUCCCUGAGCUGUCUGAUCCUCUAUAUAGGUGAGAACGGAAGCCGCUGUCCUGCAACCUCUGCCUGCCUCCUCUGCCUGCCUCUCGUCUGUACAGUCAGAGAAGCACAGCCUGUUUUGGCGGACGUCUUCCCCCUUAGCCGAGGACUCCUUUAGCACCCCUGUCAUUUACUUAUGACCACUUCUGGUCACCUCUCCUUCCAGACCAACAGGAUGAGACAGCCACUACCAUGAAGAUUAGGAGGUUCAACAGAGCCAAGCCACUGCCUGAUGUACUUGAAGAAGAGAAAAUUUAUGCUUACCCCAGCAAUACUGCCUCAGAGACUGGCUUCAGGACUGUUUCAAGCCUAGAAGAAAUUGUUGAAAAGCAAGAGGACAUAAUUGUGUACCUGAAGCGACACAAUGCUCUGCUGAGUAAGCGGUUGUUGGAGCUGGCAACUCAGCCAGCCAGGACUUGAGAGGCUCGUGGGCAUGAGAGCCGCUGAGUCCACAGUGACUGCAGACUGCCCGGCUGCCACAGGAAACCCCAGCCUUUGCCGACGUCGCGUCCACAGUGCAUGCUGGGAACCUGAAUCCAGUUCUACCUAUGUAGAGCUAUGUAUGUCCCAGAUAUGGGGGCGAGCCUCUGAGUGGAUUAUAAAGGUCUGGAAAACUUGCGAA